AACCUACGGGGGGCAGCAGUGAGGAAUAUUGGUCAAUGGCCGAGAGGCUGAACCAGCCAAGUCGCGUGAGGGAUGACGGCCCUACGGGUUGUAAACCUCUUUUGCCGGGGAGCAAGCGUGCGUUCGUGAACGCACGUCGAGAGUACCCGGAGAAAAAGCAUCGGCUAACUCCGUGCCAGCAGCCGCGGUAAUACGGAGGAUGCGAGCGUUAUCCGGAUUUAUUGGGUUUAAAGGGUGCGUAGGCGGGAUGCCAAGUCAGCGGUAAAAAUGCGGUGCUCAACGC
rnacentral:rRNA from 1 species